rnacentral:misc_RNA from 1 species
AACGCACAUUGCGCCCUCUGGUAUUCCGGGGGGCAUGCCUGUUCGAGCGUCAUUACAACUUUCAAGCAUUGCUUGGUAUUAGGUGCUGCCCUAGCUGUCUUUUUAGUUGAGCACACCUGGAAUUUAGCGGCAGAACGACCGGUGAUCAAGCGUAGUAAGAAACAUUUUUGCUUCCCGCUGAGAUUUCACCUGGGCGUCCUCGCCGGACAACCCCCUAAAUUUUUUCAAUGGUUGACCUCGGAUCAGGUAGGGAUACCCGCUGAACUUAA